AUUCCAGCUCCAAUAGCGUAUAUUAAAGUUGUUGCGGUAAAAAGCUCGUAGUUGGAUUUCUGUUGAGAGCGACCGGUCCGUACCAUGUAUGUGUAUCUGGCUUGCUCUCGGCAUCCUCUCGAUAGACGUUGCUGCGCUUGAUUGCGUGGCGCGGAUCUCGGGACUUUUACUUUGAGGAAAUUAGAGUGUUCACGGCAGGCUUUCGCCAGAAUACAUUAGCAUGGAAUAAUACUAUAGGAUCUUGGUUC
rnacentral:rRNA from 1 species